rnacentral:rRNA from 1 species
CAGUCGCCACGGGAAUACGUAGGGUGCAAGCGUUAAUCGGAAUUACUGGGCGUAAAGCGUGCGCAGGCGGUUAUAUAAGACAGAUGUGAAAUCCCCGGGCUUAACCUGGGAACUGCAUUUGUGACUGUAUAGCUAGAGUACGGCAGAGGGGGAUGGAAUUCCGCGUGUAGCAGUGAAAUGCGUAGAUAUGCGGAGGAACACCGAUGGCGAAGGCAAUCCCCUGGGCCUGUACUGACGCUCAUGCACGAAAGCGUGGGGAGCAAACAGGAUUAGAUACCCAGUAGUCCCUGUCUCUUAUACA